rnacentral:rRNA from 1 species
CCCUUAGAUGUUCUGGGCCGCACACGCGCUACACUGAAGGAGGCAGCGUGUACUCCUGGAUCGAAAGAUUUGGGUAACCCGCGAAUCUCCUUCGUGCUAGGGAUUGAGGUUUGCAAUUAUCCUUCAUGAACGAGGAAUUCCCAGUAAGUGCAAGUCAUAAGCUUGCGCUGACUACGUCCCUGCCCUUUGUACACACCGCCCGCCGCUACUACCGAUUGAAUGAUUUAGUGAGGACUUCGGACUGGGACCGAUGCGGCUUUCGGGCUGCGUCGGUAUUCUGGAAAGAUGUCCAAACUGUAUCAUUUAGAGGAAGUAAAAGUCGUANCA